AAGCGAACUAACACUUACAAUUGACCCAAUAAUUUGAUCAACGGAAUAAGUUACCCCGGGGAUAACAGCGCAAUUCUAUUCUAGAGUCCAUAUCGACAAUAGAGUUUACGACCUCGAUGUUGGAUCAGGACAUCCUAAUGGUGCAGCAGCUAUCAAGGGUUUGUUUGUUCAACGAUUAAAGUUCCUACGUGAUCUGAGUUCAGACCGGAGCAAUCCAGGUCGGUUUCUAUCUAUUAUAUAUUUCUCCCUGUACGAAAGGACAAGAGAAAUAAGGCCCACUUCACAGUAGCGCCCUCACUACAUAAAUGACUUAGUCUCAAUUUAGCAAACCACCACAUACCUAACCCAAGAGCAGGGUUUGUUAAGAUGGCAGAGCCCGGCAAUUGCAUAAAAUUUAAAACUUUACAACCAGAGGUUCAACUCCUCUUCUUAACACCAUGAUCACAACAAACUUUCUACUCCUCAUUAUACCCACACUAACCGCCAUAGCAUUCCUCACACUCGUCGAGCGAAAAUUACUGGGUUAUAUACAACUACGCAAAGGACCCAACAUCGUAGGCCCAUAUGGGCUACUACAACCCUUCGCUGACGCAGUAAAACCAAAGAACCCCUAAAACCCUCAGCAUCUACCACCAUCCUCUACACUAUUGCACCUGCCCUAGCCUUCUCCAUUGCCCUCCUCCUAUGAACCCCCCUCCCUAUGCCAAAUCCUUUAAUUAACUUCAAUCUAGGGCUCCUAUUCAUCCUGGCUACAUCUAGCCUAGCUGUCUACUCUAUCCUAUGAUCAGGAUGAGCAUCAAAUUCAAACUACACCCUAACUGGAGCCCUACGAGCUGUCGCUCAAACAAUCUCAUAUGAAGUUACUCUCGCUAUUAUUCUACUAUCAAUUCUACUGAUAAGUGGCUCAUUUAACCUCAACAUGCUUAUUACAACACAAGAAUAUCUAUGACUCCUUCCACCAUCAUGACCCCUAGCCAUAAUAUGAUUCACCUCCACACUGGCAGAAACAAAUCGAGCCCCCUUCGAUCUAACAGAAGGCGAAUCAGAACUAGUAUCAGGCUUUAAUAUUGAAUAUGCUGCAGGUCCAUUCACCUUAUUCUUUAUAGCCGAAUACAUAAAUAUUAUCAUAAUAAACGCCCUAACAACCACAAUCUUCCUAGGUACAUUCUACGCCAUUCACUCAGCAGAACUAUUCACAACGUGCUUUGUUAUAAAAACACUUCUCCUAACUUCUCUAUUUCUAUGAAUUCGAGCAACAUACCCUCGAUUCCGUUACGACCAACUCAUACAUCUACUAUGAAAAAAUUUCCUCCCACUCACACUAGCAUUUCUCAUAUGA